AAAACAAGCUUUUAAGAGCAGAUGGCGGAUGCCUUGCCAAAGAGAGGCGAUGAAGGACGUACUAGACUGCGAUAAGCUAUGCGGAGCUGUCAAGGAGCUUUGAUGCGUAGAUGUCCGAAUGGGGCAACCCAACUAAUAGAGAUAUUAGUUACUCUAAUAUAGAGGGCGAACCUAGUGAAGUGAAACAUCUCAGUAACUAGAGGAAAAGAAAUCAACGAGAUUCCCUAAGUAGUGGCGAGCGAACGGGGAAAAGGGCAAACCGAGUGCUUGCAUUCGGGGUUGAGGACUGCAACAUCCAAGAGAACGCUUUAGCAGAGUUACCUGGAAAGGUAAGCCAUAGAAAGUGAUAGCCUUGUAUGCGACAAGGCGUUUUUAGGUAGCAGUAUCCAGAGUAGGCCAGGACACGAGAAAUCCAGGUUGAAGCCGGGGAGACCACUCUCCAACCCUAAAUACUACUCUUUGAGCGAUAGCGAACAAGUACCGUGAGGGAAAGGUGAAAAGAACCGCAGUGAGCGGAGUGAAAUAGAACCUGAAACCAUCUGCUUACAAUCAUUCAGAGCCCUAUGAUUUAUCAGGGUGAUGGACUGCCUUUUGCAUAAUGAUCCUGCGAGUUGUGGUAUCUGGCAAGGUUAAGCGAAUGCGAAGCCGUAGCGAAAGCGAGUCUUAAUAGGGCGAUCAAGUCAGAUGCUGCAGACCCGAAGCUAAGUGAUCUAUCCAUGGCCAAGUUGAAACGCGUGUAAUAGCGCGUGGAGGACUGAACUCGUACCCAUUGAAACGGGUUGGGAUGAGCUGUGGAUAGGGGUGAAAGGCCAAACAAACUUAGUGAUAGCUGGUUCUCUUCGAAAUAUAUUUAGGUAUAGCCUCAAGUGAUAAUAAAAGGGGGUAGAGCCCUGAUUGGGCUAGGGCUGCUCGCCGCGGUACCAAACCCUAUCAAACUUCGAAUACCUUUUAUCGUAUCUUGGGAGUCAGGCGGUGGGUGAUAAAAUCAAUCGUCAAAAGGGGAACAACCCAGACUACCAAAUAAGGUCCCUAAGUUCUAUUCUGAGUGGAAAAAGAUGUGUGGCUACUCAAACAACCAGGAGGUUGGCUUAGAAGCAGCCAUCCUUUAAAGAAAGCGUAACAGCUCACUGGUCUAGUGGUCAUGCGCUGAAAAUAUAACGGGGCUAAGAUAGACACCGAAUUUGUAGAUUGUGUUAAACACAGUGGUAGAAGAGCGUUCAUACCAGCGUUGAAGGUAUACCGGUAAGGAGUGCUGGAGCGGUAUGAAGUGAGCAUGCAGGAAUGAGUAACGAUAAGAUAUAUGAGAAUUGUAUCCGCCGUAAAUCUAAGGUUUCCUACGCGAUGGUCGUCAUCGUAGGGUUAGUCGGGUCCUAAGCCGAGUCCGAAAGGGGUAGGUGAUGGCAAAUUGGUUAAUAUUCCAAUACCGACUAUGGAGCGUGAUGGGGGGACGCAUAGGGUUAAGCGAGCUAGCUGAUGGAAGCGCUAGUCUAAGGGCGUAGAUUGGAGGGAAGGCAAAUCCACCUCUGUAUUUGAAACCCAAACAGGCUCUUUGAGUCCUUUUAGGACAAAGGGAGAAUCGCUGAUACCGUCGUGCCAAGAAAAGCCUCUAAGCAUAUCCAUAGUCGUCCGUACCGCAAACCGACACAGGUAGAUGAGAUGAGUAUUCUAAGGCGCGUGAAAGAACUCUGGUUAAGGAACUCUGCAAACUAGCACCGUAAGUUCGCGAUAAGGUGUGCCACAGCGAUGUGGUCUCAGCAAAGAGUCCCUCCCGACUGUUUACCAAAAACACAGCACUUUGCCAACUCGUAAGAGGAAGUAUAAGGUGUGACGCCUGCCCGGUGCUCGAAGGUUAAGAGGAUGCGUCAGUCGCAAGAUGAAGCGUUGAAUUGAAGCCCGAGUAAACGGCGGCCGUAACUAUAACGGUCCUAAGGUAGCGAAAUUCCUUGUCGGUUAAAUACCGACCUGCAUGAAUGGCGUAACGAGAUGGGAGCUGUCUCAACCAGAGAUUCAGUGAAAUUGUAGUGGAGGUGAAAAUUCCUCCUACCCGCGGCAAGACGGAAAGACCCCGUGGACCUUUACUACAACUUAGCACUGCUAAUGGGAAUAUCAUGUGCAGGAUAGGUGGGAGGCUUUGAAGUAAGGGCUUUGGCUCUUAUGGAGCCAUCCUUGAGAUACCACCCUUGAUGUUUCUGUUAGCUAACUGGCCUGUGUUAUCCACAGGCAGGACAAUGCUUGGUGGGUAGUUUGACUGGGGCGGUCGCCUCCUAAAAAGUAACGGAGGCUUGCAAAGGUUGGCUCAUUGCGGUUGGAAAUCGCAAGUUGAGUGUAAUGGCACAAGCCAGCCUGACUGUAAGACAUACAAGUCAAGCAGAGACGAAAGUCGGUCAUAGUGAUCCGGUGGUUCUGUGUGGAAGGGCCAUCGCUCAAAGGAUAAAAGGUACCCCGGGGAUAACAGGCUGAUCUCCCCCAAGAGCUCACAUCGACGGGGAGGUUUGGCACCUCGAUGUCGGCUCAUCGCAUCCUGGGGCUGGAGCAGGUCCCAAGGGUAUGGCUGUUCGCCAUUUAAAGCGGUACGCGAGCUGGGUUCAGAACGUCGUGAGACAGUUCGGUCCCUAUCUGCCGUGGGCGUAGGAAAGUUGAGGAGAGCUGUCCCUAGUACGAGAGGACCGGGAUGGACGUGUCACUGGUGCACCAGUUGUUCUGCCAAGAGCAUCGCUGGGUAGCUACACACGGAUGUGAUAACUGCUGAAAGCAUCUAAGCAGGAAGCCAACUCCAAGAUAAACUUUCCCUGAAGCUCGCACAAAGACUAUGUGCUUGAUAGGGUAGAUGUGUAAGCGCAGUAAUGCGUUUAGCUGACUACUACUAAUAGAGCGUUUGGCUUGUUUUU
rnacentral:rRNA from 1 species